GACUCGAAAGCGGAGUGGUCCGCGUCUGCUUUGCAUUGAGGCGUAAUAAGACAUGGUUUACAAAUGCAGAUAUUGUCGGUUCGACCCCGGCUCGAGCUU